GACGAACGCUGGCGGCGUGCUUAACACAUGCAAGUCGAACGGAAAGGCCCUGCUUUUGUGGGGUGCUCGAGUGGCGAACGGGUGAGUAACACGUGCGUAACCUGCCCUUGACUUUGGGAUAACUUCAGGAAACUGGGGCUAAUACCGGAUAGGAGCUCCUGCUGCAUGGUGGGGGUUGGAAAGUUUCGGCGGUUGGGGAUGGACUCGCGGCUUAUCAGCUUGUUGGUGGGGUAGUGGCUUACCAAGGCUUUGACGGGUAGCCGGCCUGAGAGGGUGACCGGCCACAUUGGGACUGAGAUACGGCCCAGACUCCUACGGGAGGCAGCAGUGGGGAAUAUUGCACAAUGGGCGGAAGCCUGAUGCAGCAACGCCGCGUGCGGGAUGACGGCCUUCGGGUUGUAAACCGCUUUCGCCUGUGACGAAGCGUGAGUGACGGUAAUGGGUAAAGAAGCACCGGCUAACUACGUG
rnacentral:rRNA from 1 species